CUUUUCCAGUUUUAUUGAAGAAAAAGCCUGAUACAUUGAAAUGAUUCAUGCAAGAUAUCGCUUUGAUUAAUGAUGAACAUCUGAACGUCAACACUGAACUCGCCACUCUCAAAGAACAACAUCAAAAAUGUACAGGGGAAAUGGCAAUGCUCAAAGCAG